UCCAUAUCUCUCUACCGAGACGGAGCAACGCAGGGGGCUGCGGAGGCGCCGGCGGAGGUGAGACGAGGGCGAGACAGCGGCAGCGCAGCUGGCUGCGACGACGAAGGCGAGGGCGAGUGGAGAUUGAGCCAGAGUGGCGGCGGCACGGCUGGGCGCGGCGGCGACGGUGGAGGCAAGGAGGUGAUAAGCCACCGGAGAGGUUAGUCCGAGGUCGAACUUAGGGUUGGGGGGUGGGGGGAGGGUGUUCGGCGCCGGAGAAGAUGCAAGGUUCCCAGCUUAGAGGGGUGGCCAGGGCGGCGGUGGACCAGCGGUGGUGGCGGAUGGGGCAGGGCGGAGCGGCGAGGAGUCGCGGGAGCGCGCCGGCCGUGGGUGGCGGGAGACAACCGGUUGGGCCAGGGACAGCCGGCGGCUCUCUUCCUUCCUGUCGCGUGCCGGAUGCUCACGUGGUCGAAACGACCGCGGCGUUCACACCGGUCGGAAAUCGUCCGCCCGGCGUUGACAAAUUGAAGAGACAAUAUGUUAGUUGAUUUCAUUAUACUUCGGUUUUUCUUUGUGGCCUCGCGUCAACAAAUCGACUGAUAAAUAUACAACCAUAUGUAUUGUUCCUCGGUGACAAUUGGCAUACCUGUAUAGCGGCGGAGCUAUGUACAAACCAGGCACCAUCAUCCUAUGAAGUUUUCUUGAAAAUUACCUUGUUAAAUGUGUGGGUCCAAAUCCGACAACAUGACGCUAGACAGACGCAUAGAUGAACACGUACGUAGAAUGUGUGGGUCCAUGUCUGUCAAGUGGGAUAACUACGGUUCUGUGAUAGAUACAUCUGUCAAUGUGUUUUUGGGUUGAGCCGUUAGUCGCUUACGGUGUCCGCCUAUGGCCGUCGGUGACCAAGAUCCAUGGCAGAAAAUGUUGUACCAUCGCCGAUUCAUGCUGUCUUUGAUGGAACUUGAGACCGUCAGCCUGGAACUCAAACCUGAUGUUUUGAAGUCGCGGGGCUUCGUUUUCGGAUGUUGAUUCCUAAAUUUGUGAAAAAUCUGUCCACAAGGUUUUGAGACUUCAUGCAUGAUUUUUCAAAAUUCAGAUUAUUGAAAGUUGAUUCCAUAAUUUUGGACAGCUCGUCAAUCAUUUGUUGGAAGCUCGUGAAAUAUAUGUGUUGAAAGUUCUCAACACCCACCAGAACCUUCCUCAUAAAACCCUAAUCACAAGUACUUCGUGCGAGUGCUGCCAGGAUCUCUAUCACCUCUUCCCAAGCUGCCCACUUGCAAUGUAACUUUGGGACACGUUCCACAUCAACCCUGCGGGCCUGAGCUUCAAUGAGCUUUGGUUCUUUCCUCCCUGCAUGAUCUACCAAAGGAUAGUUGGCCUUCGAUACUUCUUGCCAUCCUUUGGUGGAUUUGGUAAUCUAGGAAUGCAAAGGUCUUCUAGAAUGAAGAUAAUCAUGUCCAUGGAGCGACUGAGAACUUGAUUCAUGGAGUUACUCUUUGGUCUUUUAGGUUGAAAUUCAAUUCUAAAAAAAUAGCAGCUGGUAUGUUAUGUGACGAUUUGUCAUCCUUGUUAUAAACUCUUUCACUUGAUUCUUAUUGUGAAGAGAGUUUCUGAAUGUUAGUGUUCAAAAUUCAGAAAGUUGAUUUUAUUUGUUUCUUUUGUCUUGUUCUCAAUUGAAAGGAGGAACGGAGAGAAGGGGGACCCGAUCAAUGGCCUCACGCGAGGGGUGCUUCCAACAGGUACUGAACCUGCCGAACUUAGCUCCCUAAGCAUCGAUUGAAUGUUUGGUUAUUUCUCGUGAGAAGAAGUUAUAUACAUGUAUGAAAGUUCGAGUAAGUGUUAGUUGUGAAAAUAGUUCGUUACCACAAAGGAUCACUUGACAAUAAUGGUGGUCUCUGAAUAACACAUCAAUAGCAAGCAACAAUUCAAUGUGAGAGGAAGAAAACUCAAAAUUCACACUAAAAGGAAGACAAAACAAACAUAGUCACAAGCACGCCUGUCUUCCUCCCUGUCUUUCGCUCCGAGUACAACAACAACACCCAAAAAGUUCGGAAAGCAAAACUAAUUCUCGUAGCCAGGAUCUCUUGGUGCAGAUGGAUUAACAAACAUGUGGAUCAGGCAAUGAAUUUUGUCACGGUUGGAUCACAUUGGAGAUGGAGCCGAAGGCGAGCUGUUGUUGUCCUGAUCCCGGU
rnacentral:lncRNA from 1 species